rnacentral:lncRNA from 1 species
CCUGUUCUGCACCUUCUUGUCUGUCCAUGUCUCUGUUUUCCCAACAAAAUCAGAGGAUCCGUGAGGAUCAUUUAGUUUCGUCAGCGAAGUAAAUUUAGUUACCAGCGACCCACGAGUGCAGCUGCUGGUCAACGCGUUCUAAAACUGACAAUACUCCUUAAAAUGCAUCGCACCUCCUACGUUCGUCGUGGCAGGCUUGAAAAGCCGAUGAACUGGUCGGUUGCAGACCCACGAGUCGCCUUUGAACGGUGCUUACACACUCGUGGGUGUGUCAAGGGUGUUCGGCUGUGACGUCCUUUGUUCUUGGCUUGACGAUGCAGACGAGAUUUACUAUCGUUGUGUCGAAAAUAAAGGAAUGAACUUGAAUUGCGACGCGAUGAAAAGAUUGAUCCUUCGACAGACCAGUCAUGGCCGCCGUGGAUGAGAAAGAGGUGUGGAUCAAUGGCGACGUAACAGCACAGCAGGACCGAAACAUGUCUCCCUG